GAUGUGUGGUUAAAAUGAUUAUAAAUCCAUGCGCUGUUUAACACUGCACUUAUUUAUAACUUUUCUUCUUGCAGUUCCUGUUACUGUAAAAAUGAAUCCACCAGCAGCAAAAGAUAUGUUCGUGUCACAAACAGUAAUAAUUCAGUGUGUAAUUACCAGCUACAGGAAGGAGGUCAUGAAUGAAACUGCGUCAUGGAUCAUUAAAGGCAAGAAACCAGAAGAUUCAAAAAUUAAACAUGGAGAGAUUCAGCAGAGAGACCAACAAUUUACCAGGAUCAGCAGUUUGAACAUUAGUAAAAAUGAAUGGAUUUUGGGUGAUGAAGUGGUUUGCUCCUUUGGGGACAAAUCUGACAAAAUCCAGUUCCAGGAGAGAAAGGAACCUUCUGUUCUCAUUUACACAUCCAAUUCGCAUGAAAAUAAAAUCACCCUGGUGUGUGAGGUCAGCAGUAAUGAUCCAGCUGAUGUCUACAUGCAGUGGACAGUAAAUCAUUUUCAAUCAAGAGAAUCAGACAACACAGCGUUCAUCCAGAAAAGUGACGGUUCUGCAUUUAUUCUCAGUUAUUUAACUGUUUCCAGUGUUGAGUACAGCAGCAGUUCCAGCUUUGACUGCGAUGUCUAUCACAGUUACAUGAAGACCAGUCAUCCCACCAAAGUGACCCUAACAACCAAAAGUAAAUAUAUAUGCCCUGAAUGUCCUGUAUGUGAUUAAUUACGUUUGCUUCUGUUUACCUGAA